UUGUGCCCUUUGUCUGAGA
rnacentral:snRNA from 1 species